rnacentral:rRNA from 1 species
UACGGAGGGUGCAAGCGUUAUCCGGAUUCACUGGGUUUAAAGGGAGCGUAGGAGGGCAGGUAAGUCAGUGGUGAAAUCUUCGAGCUUAACUCGGAAACUGCCGUUGAUACUAUCUGUCUUGAAUACCGUGGAGAUGAGCGGAAUAUGUCAUGUAGCGGUGAAAUGCUUAGAUAUGACAUAGAACACCAAUUGCGAAGGCAGCUCGUUACACGAAUAUUGACACUCAGGCACGAAAAGCGUGGGGGAUCAAACAGGA